rnacentral:rRNA from 1 species
AAGGGCACCACCAGAAAUGGAGCCUGCGGCUCAAUUUGACUCAACACGGGAAAGCUCACCCGGUCCGGACACAGGAAGGAUUGACAGAUUAAGAGCUCUUUCUUGAUUCUGUGGGUGGUGGUGCAUGGCCGUUCUUAGUUGGUGGAGUGAUUUGUCUGGUUUAUUCCGAUAACGAACGAGACUCUAGCCUACUAAAUAGACGUUCCGAUCAACUCCGUCGGACGUUCUUCUUAGAGGGACAAGCGGCGUCUAGCCGCACGAGACAGAGCAAUAACAGGUCAGUGAUGCCCUUAGAUGUCCGGGGCCGCACGCGCGCUACAUUGAAGGAAUCAGCGUGUGCUUUCCCGGUCCGACAGGACUGGGUAACCCGUUGAACCUCCUUCGUGCUGGGGAUAGGGGCUUGUAACUGUUCCCCUUGAACGAGGAAUUCCCAGUAAGCACGAGUCAUAAGCUCGUGUUGAUUACGUCCCUGCCCUUUGUACACACCGCCCGUCGCUACUACCGAUUGAAUGAUUUAGUGAGGUCUUCGGACUGGCGCUCGGAGCGGCCUUCGGGUCGCGCCGGCGUGCCGGAAAGAUGACCAAACUUGAUCA